rnacentral:sRNA from 1 species
GCUCUCAUCUGCACAAAGUGUGUGAACGUGAAAAUUCCACAGUUCCGUGGUUUGUAAAGCAAUGCAUUGAAGCUGUUGAGAAAAGAGGUCUAGAUGUUGAUGGAAUAUAUCGAGUUAGUGGCAAUCUGGCAACAAUACAGAAGUUAAGAUUUAUUGUCAACCAAGAAGAGAAGCUGAAUUUGGACGACAGCCAGUGGGAGGACAUCCACGUUGUCACUGGAGCACUGAAGAUGUUUUUCCGGGAGCUGCCUGAGCCGCUCUUCCCUUACAGUUUCUUUGAGCGGUUUGUGGAAGCGAUCAAAAAGCAAGACAACAACACAAGAAUUGAAGCUGUAAAGUCUCUUGUACAAAAACUCCCUCCGCCAAAUCGUGACACCAUGAAAGUCCUCUUUGGACAUCUAACUAAGUAAGUUGUAAGGAUUUCUGGAUGUGUCAUUUUAUAGUCAUUUCCUAAAUGGGCAAUAUUGAAUUUCACAUCUCUAAGGCAAGAGUUUCCAAAUGCGUACAUCUCGUAUUUUCCCUUGUAGCUGAACUAGGUCUUUCUGCAGAAGCUGGAGAAUGUGUUAGGGAUAGGAAGGACAAUCUACAAAAGGAACUUCUGAAAUAACUUAUUUUUCAAGGCCUUUUCAACUAGUAUAUGUUUGCUGAUUGCUUGUCAGAACCAUCGCCUGGACCCUGGGAUGGGUCAUCUUGACUUUGUUAACUCACAUAAUAGAAAGAACAUGAAAUGAUUCAGACAUGGAUUCAAAACUCAGCCCCACCAUGUACCACGUGCUGGGGCCACAAAUAAGUUAUUUAACCCCUCUGCAACCAAUUUCCUCAUCUGUAAAAUGUUGGCUCAGA